CCUACGGGUGGCUGCAGUCGAGGAUCUUCGGCAAUGGGCGCAAGCCUGACCGAGCGACGCCGCGUGAGCGAUGAAGGCCUUCGGGUUGUAAAGCUCUGUCGGGGGGGAGAAAAGGGCAACCUUGAUCGACCCCCGGAGGAAGCACGGGCUAAGUUCGUGCCAGCAGCCGCGGUAAGACGAACCGUGCGAACGUUGUUCGGAAUCACUGGGCUUAAAGGGCGCGUAGGCGGCUUCGCAGGUCAGGGGUGAAAGCCCGCGGCGCAACCGAGGAAGUGCCUGUGAUACCGCGAGGCUGGAGGGAGGUAGGGGAGUGCGGAACGUCCGGUGGAGCGGUGAAAUGCGUAGAUAUCGGAAGGAACACCGGUGGCGAAAGCGGCGCGCUGGACCGCUGCUGACGCUGAGGCGCGAAAGCCAGGGGAGCGAACGGGAUUAGAUACCCGAGUAGUC
rnacentral:rRNA from 1 species